CAACUUGAGAGUUUGAUCCUGGCUCAGAACGAACGCUGGCGGCAGGCUUAACACAUGCAAGUCGAACGCAUCGCAAGAUGAGUGGCAGACGGGUGAGU
rnacentral:rRNA from 1 species